rnacentral:rRNA from 1 species
CCUACGGGGUGCAGCAGUAGGGAAUAUUGCUCAAUGGGGGAAACCCUGAAGCAGCAACGCCGCGUGGAGGAUGAAGGUUUUCGGAUUGUAAACUCCUUUUGUUAGAGAAGAUAAUGACGGUAUCUAACGAAUAAGCACCGGCUAACUCCGUGCCAGCAGCCGCGGUAAUACGGAGGGUGCAAGCGUUACUCGGAAUCACUGGGCGUAAAGAGCGCGUAGGCGGGAUAGCAAGUCAGAUGUGAAAUCCUAUGGCUUAACCAUAGAACUGCAUUUGAAACUGUUAUUCUAGAGUAUGGGAGAGGUAGGUGGAAUUCUUGGUGUAGGGGUAAAAUCCGUAGAGAUCAAGAGGAAUACUCAUUGCGAAGGCGACCUGCUGGAACAUUACUGACGCUGAUGCACGAAAGCGUGGGGAGCAAACAGGAUUAGAUACCCUAGUAGUC